UUCUGGGCGUAAGCGCACGCAGGCGGUCUGUCAAGUCGGAUGUGAAAUCCCCGGGCUCAACCUGGGAACUGCAUUCGAAACUGGCAGGCUAGAGUCUUGUAGAGGGGGGUAGAAUUCCAGGUGUAGCGGUGAAAUGCGUAGAGAUCUGGAGGAAUACCGGUGGCGAAGGCGGCCCCCUGGACAAAGACUGACGCUCAGGUGCGAAAGCGUGGGGAGCAAACAGGAUUAGAUACCCUGGUAGUCCACGCCGUAAACGAUGUCGAUUUGGAGGUUGUGCCCUUGAGGCGUGGCUUCCGGAGCUAACGCGUUAAAUCGACCGCCUGGGGAGUACGGCCGCAAGGUUAAAACUCAAAUGAAUUGACGGGGGCCCGCACAAGCGGUGGAGCAUGUGGUUUAAUUCGAUGCAACGCGAAGAACCUUACCUGGUCUUGACAUCCACAGAACUUUCCAGAGAUGCAUUGGUGCCUUCGGGAACUGUGAGACAGGUGCUGCAUGGCUGUCGUCAGCUCGUGUUGUGAGAUGUUGGGUUAAGUCCCGCAACGAGCGCAACCCUUAUCCUUUGUUGCCAGCGG
rnacentral:rRNA from 1 species